rnacentral:rRNA from 1 species
AUUGAACGCUGGCGGCAUGCCUUACACAUGCAAGUCGAACGGCAGCACGGGAGCAAUCCUGGUGGCGAGUGGCGAACGGGUGAGUAAUAUAUCGGAACGUGCCCAGUCGUGGGGAUAACGUAGCGAAAGCUACGCUAAUACCGCAUACGAUCUAUGGAUGAAAGCGGGGGAUCGCAAGACCUCGCGCGAUUGGAGCGGCCGAUAUCAGAUUAGGUAGUUGGUGAGGUAAAGGCUCACCAAGCCGACGAUCUGUAGCUGGUCUGAGAGGACGACCAGCCACACUGGGACUGAGACAGGCCCAGACUCCUACGGAGGCAGCAGUGGGGAAUAUUGGACAAUAGGGCGAAAGCCUGAUCCAGCAAUGCCGCGUGAGUGAUGAAGGCCUUAGGGUUGU